ACCUCUGUUUGUACAGAUAUUCUCCAAGAGUUUCCAUACGACUCCUAUAAAUUCGCAAAUCAUUCCAUUUUUUAAUAUCUAUUGUGUGGUCCUUGCAACGUAUAAGAUAUCUACUUCGUAUCCAGGGAAACUAUACCACCCUUACUCUGAUAAUAGUCUACAUCGACACAUCAUCGAAACAUUUACACGGUUAUUCUGUUUUUUUGUUUGUUUGUUUGUUUUGUUCUUUCAAAAUACAGAUUAACAACUGCAUAUUUACAAUAUUCCCACACAUUUUGAGUCAGUACUUGUUGCACACAAUAUUUAGGCACUACGUAAAGGUCACAGGGCAGGUUUGUGUACCACAUGUCGCUAAAUCACUUUAAGAAACAAACAAAAACAUAUACCAAAAAUAAGAUUUACUUUCCAAUUUUUGCUAAUUAAUUUAAAGAGAUUCUAAAGCCAAUCGCAAAUUAAGUUAUUUAAAAUAUUCUAAUGGUUUCACACACAAAUCAGCGUUUAAUAGUCAAACACGAGGAGUGCGACAUCGUGUAUUUGCCCUAACAAAAUAGCAUUUGUGUGAUAAAAAUACCAUCCAAUAACAGUUUCCUAAAAUGCUUAUAAAAACAAUGCAACGAGAAAAUGGAAGAGGUUGUAGUUGUUGCCCAAGUCCCCUGCAAACAUCAAGAUUAGAAACCAGGAAACAACACAACUCGAGUUUUUGAUGACACUUUUUCUUUUAACGAGGAUUAAACGUCCACCCGCAGUUUCUCUUCCUCGAACUAAACGUGACGUCCCUGAUAUUUCAAGAGGUGCAAAGACUCAUAAAGGACAACUCGGGUCGCUGUUCACCACUAAAAUUUACUCACUGAUGAAGUCAUCGAUCUCCUGAUUGUUCAUUGGAGGCUGGAUAGGCAGACAUGUUAAAUCUCUGCUGAUACCAGAAUACAAGGUUUUCCUAGAGAAGCCUCGAUGCCUUUCGUCAUCGAAUAAGAGGACUGUUUGUUAUUUAUCCAUCACAGCAUCACAGUUCGAGACUUUCAAGGACUAAACGCAAUGUCUCGUCAUAUUCGUCAGUUUUCCAGGAGAGGGUACGUUUCCGUAUUUCUCUUUCUUUGUGCCAUCGUGAACACGGUAUCUACCGUCACACAUUAUUCUGUUCCUGAAGAAAUGGAGGAAGGGUCUGUUGUUGCUAAUUUAGCAACUGAUUUGGGAUUAGACGUGAAGACUCUGAGUAGAAGAAAAAUGCGUGUAGAUGUUGUUGGCAAUAAAAAAUAUCUUGACAUCAACAAAGAUACAGGAGAGCUGUUUAUUCUGGAGAGGAUUGACAGAGAGUUUCUAUGCCCACUGAAGACAUCAACAUCGUGUUUUCUUCGAUUAGACGCUACAAUUGAAAAUCCAAUACGAAUGUUUAAUAUCGAGGUGGAAAUCACGGAUAUUAACGACAACGCCCCUCAUUUUCGACGGGGAACGAUGCAUUUGGACAUCUCCGAAUCAAGUUCUGUUGGAGAGAGGUUCUCGUUGAAUAACGCUGCAGACCCGGAUGUUGGAACGAAUUCAGUGAAAGACUAUCAUCUGAGCUCAAGUGAGCAUUUCUCCAUCGAAAUUCAGAUCGGAAGAGACGGGACAAAGUUUGCCGAUUUGAUUCUGAGGAAAGCUUUAGAUAGAGAGCAGCAGGCUGUCCAUAAUCUGAUCCUGACUGCAGUGGACGGUGGGGUCCCCACGCGCACAGGGACGGCCAGCAUCGUCGUUCGCGUGCUUGAUGUGAACGACAACGCCCCUUCAUUUAACAAAGACACAUACGUCGUGGAUGUGAUGGAAAACUCCCCGAUUGGCAGUCUAGUGAUAAAACUGAAUGCCACUGAUUUAGAUGAAGGGUCAAAUUCUGAUAUUGUCUAUUCAUAUAGUUUGUAUACAUCAGAGAGAACGCAGCAGAUGUUUAACCUGAAUCCAGAAAAUGGUGAAAUCCGAGUGAAAGAGAUGAUAAAUUAUGAGGAUGUUAAGCUUUACGAAAUGGAAGUUAUUGCCAGCGAUAAGGGACCGAGCUCCUUAUCUGGACAGUGUAAACUGACUAUAAAGGUGACAGACAUGAAUGAUAAUCACCCAGAAAUAUCUAUCAAAUCAUUUCAGAGUCCAGUCAAUGAAAACAUAGAAUUAGACACAGUGAUAGCUGUGGUCAGUGUCAGUGACAAAGACUCAGGUGACAAUGGAGUGGUUGAUCUCCAUAUUCCAGUUAAUAUGCCUUUCAGACUGAGGGAAUCCUCUGAUAACUAUUAUGAAUUAGUGGUGUCAGAGCCGUUAGACCGUGAGAAGGUUCCAGAAUAUGACAUCACGUUCACUGUUACAGACAGAGGUUCUCCUCCUUUAUCUGACAAUGAAACUAUGACCUUAGAACUGCUGGAUAUCAAUGACAAUGUUCCACAGUUCCCUCAGUCCUUUUAUACUAUACGUGUGAUGGAGAAUAACGCACCCGGGGCCCUGCUCAGUUCUCUCACUGCGUUUGACCCUGACCUCCAUGAAAACCAGUAUCUGGUUUAUUUCAUCCUGGAGAAGGAGAUAGCCAACACCUCCAUGUCCAUGCUGUUCUCCAUCAAUCCAGAGAACGGCAAUCUUUACGCACUGAAAACCUUUGACUAUGAGAUCGAGAAAGAGUUUCUCUUCCACAUCGAGGCCAGAGACUCUGGCUCUCCUCCGCUCUGCAGUAACGUGGCCGUCCACAUCAUCAUUGUGGACCAGAAUGACAACGCUCCGGUUAUUGUGUCUCCGUGGCGAGCGCACGGCUCGGUGGUGGAGGAAAAGAUCCCCAGAUCCACCGAUAAAGGCUCUCUGGUUGCCAAGGUGAUAGCCUUGGACACCGACUCGGUGCACAACUCUCGGAUUACCUACCAGUUUCUACAGGUGACUGACGCCACCCUGUUCAGUCUGGACCAGUACAACGGAGAGAUCCGGACUAUGAGGAUGUUCAGUUACAGAGAUCCGCGCCAUCAGAGACUGGUUGUUGUGGCAAAGGACAACGGGGAGCCCGCCCUGUCAGCUACAGUCACCAUCAAGCUGUCCACGGUGGAGACUGCUGUCAAGGCCUACUCUGACAUGACUGAGGUGCCUCUAGAAUACGACAUCUUUUCAGACCUGAACCUGUAUUUGGUCAUCGGUCUGGGCUCUGUGUCAUUUCUCCUGCUCAUCACCAUAUUGGUGACCUGCGUGCUCAAGUGUCAGAAGCCCAAACCCAGCAAAGCGGCUGCUCCCUGCAGGAACAGUGUGAUCAGUGAGAGGAACUCCACCAUCGCAGAUUCCACUCUGGUGUCCAACGAUGCCUACUGGUACAGUCUGUUCCUAGCAGAGACCAGGAAAGGAAAGCUGGUGGUCAGACAGCCUGUGCCAAAGGGCUCCAGGUACAUCGUGUCCAGUAUACCAAGAGGCACAGGACUGACGGACACGAGUGACUCAGCAGCUUCCACUCUGCAGGUAUGAGGAAAAAGUAGCUCUUUCACGUGGUGCAAAUAUUUUUUUCAUGAAAAUUAAUCAAGUGCUCUUCUGCGUGAUUACAGUAGUCAUGACCUUCUUAUCAUGUUUGAGUUUUAGAAUUUGUAUUCUCCCAUUCACUUAUGUUAUUACGCAUACAUAGUUAAGAACUGCCUGAACAGGGAACCAUUCAUGAUAAGUAAAAAUAUAACUGUGCACAUUAACAGUGUUUAAAUAAUUCUUGUUAUUGUCAUUGGCAGCUGGUUUCCAGUAGUGAAAACAAUGAAGUAUUUACAUAAGUAUUGCACUUAAGUACAAUUUUGAGGUACUUUCACUUUACAUAAACAACUACUUUAUACUUCUACUAUAGUAUAUUUCAGAUGACAAUAUAUGAUCAGUUAUUUAAAUGUGUUGAAUUUUGGUGGGUUGAAGGCCCCACAUACACUCACAGGUGGGCUCAGUUAUGCUGCUGCUUAGACCUACUCAGACUGAAGCUCUGCUGUGAUUUACAUGAGGUCCUCAUGUACUUAUGGUAAAGUGUAAAACUGCCCUAAAACAAAACAAGUGAGACAACAGCUGAACACCAGAAGUAUUUUUUUCAUCUUUCUGGACAGGACAAUAACUUGUUUGUACAAAUUAUUAUCUGUCUGUGUGUAAAAUUUUUGAAAUGAACUUAUUUUGCAUAGGGAGUACUUUACUUUUGGUACUUGAUGUACAUUUUGCUGGCUUUUUUUUAAAAACUCAAAUAGAAUUUCAAAUGCAAGCCUUGAACUUGUAACAGAGUAUUUUUACACGGUGGCAUUGUUGCUUUUCCUUAAGUAAAGGAUCUGAGAACUUCUUCCACCUGUACUAGUUUCUACUUAAAUCUUCAUAUAAUUUAAAAAAUAUUAACAAUUAAUUUAAUAAAUAAUCUAUGCUACUUUUUUCCUAAAUAGAUUUAUUUUUCUUGUAACUUCAGCUUGGAUAUUUCUGCAUACAUUAACUAUUUAGGAGAGAUAUGAGGCAAGAUGUGGGGCAUGCUGAUAUCAUAAUAAAUCAGAAGUAACUUUCAGUCGCAGCCACUGAUGAUACACAGACGGACACUUUUAAUUUCAUCAUGUCUGACACUGUUUACGCACUGACAACCGCCCUUAAAACUCACGGAACGCGAAUUAAAGACAAUAAAUACUUGAUGCCUUUACAAUCACUGUGUAGACGUGGCAGAAAACAAGCUUAAAACGCUUAUAAAUAGAUGCAAAUCUAUAAUGAAGGGAAAUUGAAAAUUACACAUCACAGAAUUCCACCUCUGAACGAGGGAAUUAAAGUUUAGAAACAGAUUUACAAACAUCCCCAAAACUUGUUUCCAGUCUGUUAAACUGUGAUUAAAUCCACAUGCGGUCUUAGUUUAAAACAAGCUACAUUUUUGUUUUCAAAAAAAGUUGCAAAAGCUCACACAAGUCUACUUUUCGUCGCUGCUCUCCACAAAUAAAAACAACACUCAUGUGAGGUCAUCGUCUCCGAGGAAGUUUAUUGGAGGAAGGACAGUAAGACAUUUUUUCACAUGGUCGUCACUCUUGGCUACAGACUGAAGCGACGUUUUCUGUUGAGAUCCUUGUUUUGUUUGUUCUUUCAACAAGAGGACGUUUUUUGUCGAAUUUCAGCCGACUCAGUGACUACAGCUGAGGAAUCUGUAUGAUGGCUCGCCGCGUCAGACUGUUGUUCGAGAGAGGGCAUCCACCACCAGCAGCAGCAGUUCCACAUGAGACCACCUUCAGCUGCAUACUGGAUUGAUGCCUAUGCCUGGAGAGGAAUGGAUAAAACCCCCUCAAUUUAGAGAGGCGAGGAGAAACCCAUGCCCACAACCCCCUCCAUGUUCAUCCCGCUCAGUCUGACCUUUGCUCCUCACAAUGUGUAGUUGUCAUUCCUUGACACCAAAUGGAUCUGCUAGUUGCUGGUCAAUGACAACGCCCCCAACCAACCCCUUCUUUUAAGCACAAAAAAAGCCAAUCAGUCAUGCCUCUCUGCCCAUUUAAUAUGCAUGAUAGGACUGCAUGGCUUCAACCAUACUCCAUACGAAAAAUUUCCAAGAGGACAUAUUCGCAAAGAAGCAGACUGCACAAAAAAAUUAAGGAGCCCCAACAAGGACUGUUAGAGUGGACCUGGGAAUGUUGAACUGCCUUUAAGAGACUGUUUUCCCGCUCUAUAAAUGAAACGCGUGUUGAGUAUUAACAUUUUAAACCUCUGUGCUCUGUCUUGCUUCCUAACAGCAUUGAUGUGUAAUAUACCAGUUAAACAGCACAAUUAACUAAAUAUCAGAAAAGCACCAACCUGUAAAUGUAAAGUAUGAAACAGAAGGGAAUCAGUAUUUUAUAAGUGUGGUAUCUUUAGUGGUUUUAUGUUUGUACUUUAUUUGUGCUUUAUAUGCAAACUAGGCCUAUGUAUGUGAAUGAGUGCUAAGAGAUUAUGUUAAGUUAACCGGUACACCAAACAGCUGUUAGUAAUCUGCCUUUCAUUUGUUUUUGCAUGGAUCAAUCACAGUACUUUUGACAGCUUUGCAUCUUUUAAGAUAUUGAGCAAUCCAUUUUCUGUCUUUAUGCCUCACUGUUUAGUAUUGUUCAAAACAAGAUGGAAGACUACAUUUUUAAUGGGACCAUAAUUAAGUGCAACAGCGUAAUACUUUCAUCCUUAAUCGUAAGAUCUGCGGAGAGGGUCAACACAUCAGUAAUCUCAUUCCUUUUUCCUACUUCUACAGGAAAAAGAGGAAAAUAGCUGAAGUUGUACAGUGUGCUUGAAUGUUAUGUUCACUUGGAUAUUACUGGGGAUGUGAGGCUAAGGGAUUGAACUGUCCACAGGUGAACACAAUGAGUGUUUGAGGAUGUAUUGAUUGACAUCUCUUUACAACUCUUGUAUAUAGGAUACAAAUAUAAUCAUGUACUUUCAUUUUUUUAGUUUUAAAGCUGAACUCUGGAUGUUCCUUAGUUUCAACACCUUCUGAGGUUGUGUGACAAGUCGAUAACUCUGGACUGAACAUGAAGACUUGAUGUUUACUUUAGAGUGCUUGAUUUCACCCAAUGAAAGCUGUGCUCAUGUGUAUUACUGACUACUUUAUAUGAUAUAUAGAUAUGCAACACAAUUACGGAUAUGGAUUUGACUGACAUGUACAGUAUUUCACGUUUCAGUCAACAAGUUUGCCUUUGUUUUUGAAUACCAAUGCUGAACUUUUAAAGGUGAACAAACACAAUGGAUCAUCUGUGCCAUCAAAUCUAUGAGCCAAAUAGUCUGUGAAACAGUAAAAUAAUCAGACUGCGUGUAGUCAGACUCUUUAGCACAGCUCACAUUGCAUUACUUGUAUAAAGUUGUAAUGUUUUGUGGGCAAACCUAUACAGUAAGUGCUUUUGUAAAGUGGUACUUUCAUGGUGCAGUAUGUGGUAACUUGUGUAAUGUGAGCUUCCUGUAUGCUGUGGUUUGGUGUGUGCAAUCUAUUAAAUACAAAAAACAAAACAGAACAAUGAAA